rnacentral:snRNA from 1 species
AUACUACAAAAAUAGAAAACGAUCACACAGGUGUUUUUCCCAGGGCAUGGUGUUUCCCUUGCACUUGGGCUGUGCUAUGAUUUCCCUAAAUGUGGGAUAGCCAACUGCAUAGCUGUGGUAGUGGGGGCUGCAUUUCUGCUCACCUCU